AUGGCGUUGGGGGGCAACGCGGUCGCCGGUCGCCGUCGCCACGUGCUGCUGUUCCCGCUGGCGUACCAGGGCCAUAUCAACCCGAUGUUCCGGCUGGCCGGCAUCCUCCACGGCCGCGGCUUCGCCGUCACCGUCUUCCACACCCACUUCAACGCCCCAGACCCAUCGCGCCACCCGGAGUACCGCUUCGUCCCCGUCCCCGACGGCAUGUCCGGCCCAGCACCCGUCGCUAUCGAGGACGUCGUCUCCCACAUCCUCGCGCUCAACACCGCGUGCGAGGCGCCCUUCCGUGACCGCCUGGCCGCCGUCAUGGAAGAGUACUCCAGGGACGACGUGGCGUGCAUCGUCGUCGACACUCACCUGCUGUCCAUGGUGAAGGUGGCCACGAAGCUCUCCGUGCGCACCCUCGUCCUCCGCACUGGCAGCGCCGCCUGCCUCUCGUGCUUCGUGGCCUACCCUCUCCUCAUCAAGAGAGGCUACCUCCCUGUGCAAGAGUCGGAGCUGGAGACGGAGGUGAGCGAGCUGCCGCCGUACCGGGUGCGCGACCUGAUGCAGCUCGGCAGGCGCCACGACCUGACGUGCAAGCUGCUGGAGCGCGUGGUGGGGGCCGUGAAAGCGUCCUCCGGGUUAAUUCUCAACACUUUCGACGCGCUGGAGCGGCGGGAGCUGGUGAAGCUCCGGCGUGACCUCGCCAUGCCGGUGUUCGACAUCGGCCCGCUCCACCUGUUCUCCCCCGCCGCCGCAGCCGAGAGUAGCCUGCUGCGGCAGGACCGGAGCUGCCUGAAGUGGCUGGACGCGCGGCCGGCAGCGUCGGUGCUGUACGUGAGCUUCGGUAGCCUCGCGUGCAUGUCAGCGCGGGACCUGGUGGAGACGGCGUGGGGCAUCGCCGGCAGCGGCGUGCCCUUCCUCUGGGUGGUCCGGCCAGGCCUGGUCGCCGCGGACGGGCUGACGCGGCUUCCGGACGGGUUCGAGGAGGCGACGCGCGGGCGCGGGAUGGUGGUGGAGUGGGCGCCGCAGGAGGAGGUGCUCCGGCACGCUGCCGUGGCCGGGUUCUGGACGCACGGGGGCUGGAACUCGACGACGGAGAGCGUGUGCGAAGGGGUGCCGAUGCUUUGCCGCCCGCACUUCGGCGACCAGAUGGGGAACGCCAGGUACGUGGAGCACGUGUGGAGGGUGGGCUUCGAGGUCGCCGGCGCGCUCGAGAGGGGCGGCGUGGAGGCCGCCAUCCGUCGGCUCGUCACGGGGAGCGAAGGCGCCCAGAUGCGGGCCAGGGCCGGCGAGCUGAAGAAGGUGGCGAAGGAGUGCACCGGCGAGGCCGGCUCGUCGGGCCUCGCCAUCGGUAAGCUGGUAGACCACAUGCUGGCACUGUAG
rnacentral:rRNA from 1 species